CUUCAUCUUCUCCACCCAAGCACCCCCUUCUCCCAUCCCCCAUCACCCACCCCUUGCCCACCUGAGCCACCCUUUCUCCGAUCCACUCCUCCCAAAUCAAAUGUCAGAAAACCCUAAUUCAAAAUUUCCAAGCAAAAUCCAUUGGCUUCUACCCAGUUCACAGAACCCUCGAAAGAACAAAUUUAACAACCAGAACACCAAAAAUUGAGCACAAACAGAUAAAAAAAAACUCACCAUCUGCAAGCUUCAAGCUUUAAAACUCAUCCAUAUCUUUCAUUUUCUGACUCAUAUUUUCUCAACAACCAAACAGGGUAUGAAGAAGAACCCAGCUCCUAGAUUGCAGAGGAAGGCAAGAAAGAAUGAUCCAUUCCCUGUUCAGGUAUCUGUUUGGUUUUUCUUUUUUUCCUAAUUAUUACUAUUUGGAUUCCAGGAAAGUCAAAUGGAAAGAAAGGGGUAGAAGAAAACGGGUUGUUUAUCGGAGCAGGAGGUGUGUCUUAGCCUUUUAGCAUUUGCUUUUUGCAGUAUGAAUUAAAUGAUGAUGGGGACUAUAUAUGUUUAUAUUUAGGGUAAAUCUCCGCCUGAAAUCAGAGAAAGGGUGGGUGAUGAGGGAUAGGAGAAGGGGGUGCUCGGGUGGAGGGGAUGGAGAGGUUAAGCAGUGGAGGGGUGUCUAGUGGGGAAGACGAAGGGGUUUUGGGUUUUUUUUUUUUUUUAAUACUUUUAUUUAAUUAAUUUUUUUAAUUUAAAAAAAAAAUUUAAUGACAUGUGGCGCUCAGUCAUUUUCCACAUGGGCGUCAUGUCAUCAGUUAACGGGAGAUUUAACAGCCAGAUUAACAGAUGUAUGAGACUGUCCCAAAAUUAACACUUCAGGUAUGAUUUUAGGACGAAAAAAAAAACUUCAUGUACCAAAUGUUGAAAACCAUGAAACUUGAGGGUAGUAAACUGAGAUUUACCCUUAUUUUUAUUAUUAGUUUUAUCUUGUACUUUUAUGGUAAUUUGCAAUAAGGUAAUAACGUAAUUUACAUUUACAGUUUAAGUUGAAUAUAGAGAGAGGUUACAUGAGUUCAAAUAAAAUUUUCCUUUGACAUAUUGUCAAUAUUUUCAUUCCAACCGAUAUACCAAAAUUUAUUGCUUCAUUUAUAUUUUUUAAACAAAAAUAAUAAAAGUUGAGUUGUUGGUUUAAAAAUAAUAAAAUUACUUAAAUAUGUUAGCAUUUAAAGUAAGGUGCGUGGAAUAUCUUUAGAAAUAGCAAUAAUCAAAUUUGAAAACAAUUUCAAAUUUGACAUCUCUUUGUCCAUGUUCGUUUAGCCUUUUUUUUCCAUGUCAUCAUUGACAUCUAGGUUAGAGUAAAUAGUACGUUAUUUGUUACUGUUAUAUGUCUAUGUGACAUUUUUAACAUCUCCUUUGGAUAUGGUCUUACCUUCUCUACCUAAACCUUUUCUUAUUUGUAUAAAAUAAAUAAUAAGAAAGAAUUAGGAUAAUAAAUAAAUAUAUAUAUAUAUAUAUAUACACACAUAUAUACAUAUAAAUAAAAAAUUUAAAAAUAAAAAAAAAUAAAAAAAAAACCUUGUGUAAAGUAAAGUGUACAUCAAACCCCACAUUUCUUCUAUUUACCGUACAGUUCCUGCUAACCUACGUAUUACGUAUGGGUUCCCUUUAGAGAUGAAUGCCACUUUACAUUACCAGUUUAAUCAUUGUUUCAACUUUCAACCCAUUUUUACCUUUUUAUAGUUUUUUGGGUAAAUUACACUUUACCACCUUAGGUUUGAGGUUUAUUACAAUCUCAUACAAUAUCUUCAAAACAUUUCACUUUCAUACCUCACAUACUAUUUUAUUUCAAUAUAAUACAUUCGUUACAUUUUCCAUCCAUUGAUCCGUUAAGAGCUGAAGUGGCAGCCAUAUUUGUGUCACAUGGUAAAAAAAAAAUUUAUUCAUUUAAAAUAUUAUAAUAAUUUACCCUAAAAAAUAUAAAUAAAAAAUAAAAAACACAAACUGAAACCCAUCUCCCCGCAACCCCCCUCGGCAAACAAACCCAAAAACCUUCCCCCCCCCCCAGAUCCACCUCCCUCUCCUCCACUCUCUUCACCUCCCCCUCCCAUCCCACCCCAUCCCCACCUCCCCCGCUACCAUUACAUUACAAAAAUACAAUCCCAAAUCAAAUGUCAGAAAACCCUAAUUCAAAAUUUCCAAGCAAAAUCCAAUAUCUUCUACCUAGUUAAUAAAACCCUCGAAAGAACAAAUUUAACAACCAAAACCCCAAAAUUUGAGCACAAAUCAGAUAAAAAAAACCCACCAUCUACAAGCUUCAAGCUUUAAAACCCAGCAACCAGAGGACCGUGAUUUCAGGCAAAGGUCAAGGAGAGCAAUGUGGCCUUGGCAGUCGCCGAUGACAAGGAGGAGGUGGGAGCUGGAGGGAUCGGUGGAGAGGAUAUCGUGGCAAAGAGGAAAGGCUCGGUAGAGAGGAGAUCAUGGUAGAGAGGGAGCGGAUAGGGACCCAUUGCCACUGCCGCUAGUGCGUCUUUUCCGAAGAGGUGGAGUGGGUUUUUGGAUGGGAGGGGAGGUAAAGAGAGUGGAGGAGAGGGAGGUGGGUUGUGGGGGGAGGUUUCUAGGUUUGUUUGCAGGGGUGGGGGGUUGCGGGGAGAUGGGUUUCAGUUUGUGUUUGUUUGUUAUAUUUUUUUUAGGGGAAAUUAUUAUAAUAUUUUAAAUGAAUAAAAAAUUAUAUUUUUUGCCACAUGACACAAAUGUGGCUGCCACGUCAGCUCUUAACGGAUCAAUGGAUGGAAAAUGUAACGGAUGUAUUAUAUUGAAAUAAAAUAGUACGUGAGGUAUGAAAGUGAAAUGUUUUGAAGAUUUUAUAUGAGAUUGUAAUAGACCUCAAACUUGAGGUGGCAAAGUAUAAUUGUAGACAUCGAAAUUUCAGUAAAUAAAUGUUGACCGAUAAAUCAAAGUUUCAACGCUCAUGUAUUACAUAAAUUUUACACGUAGCGUGUGUCUAAACAAAAAAUCGAAAUAGUUGGAAAAGUCAUCAAACAGGACACAUGUCAACACCUGGCAGAAACGACUUAUUUCAUCUGGGAUAUUAUAUUCAAAAUUAUGCCUUGGAAAUUUCUAUAAAUAGAAGGCUAAAUCAUUCAUUUGAGGGGACCAAAAUCAUUAGGCAAAAUUCUGAAGCUCUGAAGCUCUGAAACUCCGAAGCUCUCAAGCAUCCAAGUUCCCGAAGAAUCAAGAAAGCCUUCUUCGUUCUUCCAAGAUCAAGCCCGACGGCCCUUGGAUCAACAAUCAUCCACCUUCAAGAUCAAGCCCCGACGGCCCUUGGAUCAACCAUCCACCAAUUCAAGAUCAAGCCCCGAUGGCCCUUGAAGAAAGCACCAUCGUUCAUCAUCCGUUCAUCCAAGAUCAAGCCCCAACGGCCCUUUGGAUCAACAACGUUGACAAAUCCACACAUCCAACCGUUCUUCAAGAUCAAGCCCAAAAGCCCUUGAAGAUCCGUUCAUCACUGUUCUUUAAGAUCAAGCCCAAAAGCCCUUGGAGAUCCAUUCAUCACUGUUCUUCAAAGAUCAAGCCCAAAAGCCCCUUUUAAGAUCCGCUCAAAUCCACCUUCAAGAUCAAAUCCACGGCCCUUGAAGAACGUUCAUCCUUAGAUCAAGCCCAACGGCCCUUCGGAUCAAUCACACAUCCACAAAUACACACCUUACGGAGAUCGAAUCAGAGGAUCAAAAUAGAGAGAUUGUAACCCAAAAUCAUCAAAUACAAAUAUUUGUUUGUGCACGUCGUUCUUGUCUCUUUCAUUUCAGGAAUUUUCCGUGUUCACAAAUUGGCACGCCCGGUGGGAUGAUCUCUACCUCUCAUCUCUUUCUCCGUUCAAGAAAUUCGAGCACACUUCCAAAAUUAAUGGCAUCAAGGAAGGCUCAAACUGUUCCGGCAACUGGCGCAAAGAACAAGAGCGUCAUCGUCGCAAGUGGUGUCACUCAAGGAAGAAAAAAUCGAUAAUAUCGGCGAAAUAUCGCCAAUAUUAUCGUUUUUUUGAAGAUCCGAAAUUUUUUUAACUAUCCAAAUGAAUUUCGUCAAAAUAUCGCGAUAUUAUCAAUAAUAUCGAUAAUAUCGCGAUAUUUUUAAAAAUAUCGAUAUUAUCGUAAUAUAAUAUUCAAAAAUAUUUAAAAAUGUUGAAAAUCUCAACAUAUACUACACUUGAUCAAAGCCCCCAGAGGCUAACCAAGACAUGCUUUUCUCACCAUGUGAUUAUGCCUUUUAUAGGCGUUCUUGGCUUGCUCACUGCCCUCGCUGGGCGAUGUGGGACUCGACCAAGGAAAAAAAAUAGGAAUUUCGGCCGAAAAUCCACACCCACUUUAAACGGCCAUAACUUUGUCAAAACUCAACAAAAUCAAGCAAGACAAAAACGAAAGUUGUAGCCCUCGAAGAGACGAAGAGAAUGGUACCUCACAAGACGUCUGAAUUGUCGUGGUUUGGCCGGAAAAUGCCUCGAAAGUCACUGAGGUCGCCGGAAACUGGGUAAGAUUCAAAUGAGUAUAACUUUUUCAAUACUCAACGAAAUUGAGUGAAACAAAAAUGAAAGUUGUACUACUCGACGAGACGAAGAGAUUGAUACCUUGCACGCCGGCCAACUCGCCGUGGUUUGGCCGGAAAACCAAAACGUAUUGCCUCAAGGGCUGGUACAUGUGAACUUGUGACUCCAACUAGGUAAGAGCCAGAUCUAAUUUGGGGCCUUCUAUCCUAUAUUUGUGGACAACCAUCAAAUGCUAAAGAUUAAACAAACAUAAUAUGUUCUACUGCUUAGCAAAAAAAGCUACAAACCCUUUGCUUAUCAGCAAAAAAAGACAAGUCCUUGCACUAGAUAUACUUUCAAAUUACGUUGAGUAGCAACCUGAUAUAUGUAUUUGGACGAAUUAUAAAACAAUUGACACACUCCUGACUUCCAAAAUUCAAUUCUUUUACUUUAUAUAAACUUGAAAAAACAUAAUCGGCAUCCAAAUUAAAGUUUAGUCUUAUUCAAUGUAUUGAUUUUCAAUCGUUAAUUGAUAUACUAUAAUUUGGAACAUCAACGCCUAGACGCAUGCUUAUGUGUAAGAAAUUUAAAGUGUCAAAUUCGGCACAUUAUUCUUCAUCAUUUUAUUCACUUCCCUUUUUUUUUUUUUUAAUAUCCUAAAUAAAACCUCCAAAUAUUGUACUAAUUCAUUAUAUAUAAAUGAUUAUGGUGUGUUUAGACUUCUUUCAUUAAUUACUACAUAUUUUCUACACUCACAAUGUUUGUCAGCUCGCUAUAUAAUCAACUUGAUAAUGUUAAAUCCAUCAUGCAAUGCAUUUCUUUCCAAUUUUUUGUGAUAAACUAAUAGAUUAUUGACUAAAUAAACAUCCUACAAAGUUUCAAUAAAAAUUUCCAAGUUUUUCUUACAAUUUCCGUGGUUUCCAUGUAAUUUUUAUCGAUAUCGAUAUUUUACCGAUAUUUCCAUCGAUAUUUCCGUGUUUUCGGACUACCGAUAUUUCCGAUAUUACCGAUAUUUUCUUCCUUGGUGUCACUUUAGGCAUCACGACUCGAAGCAAGGCAAGAGCUACUUCUGUCGCCUCUUUCACCUCUGCAUCAACUCUGCCAAGAGAACAAGAACACCCAAGGCACGAGCCUUUGAUCACCUUAGCCUCACCAAAGGCACCAAGGGGCGAAAGUCCAAGGAAAUACUCAUAAUCCAUGCUCUCCGAUGCCGAUUCGAGCAGCAGUUCAGCCAUGCAAGUCAUGACCAUUGGAGCAACUUCAAUCGAUGAGCAGCUGGCUCAAAUGAAUGAAGCAAUCGCAAGACUAACUCGAACCGUGGAAGAAAAAGACUUGCAGAUCACGGCGUUAGUCAACCGACUGGAGGCGCAGGACAGCUAGAAACCCGACCCAGAGGAUGAUCCACUAAAGGGAGGAGCUGGCGGAGACGAAGAACCCCCGGUGAAGAAAAUCGAUGGGAAGCCAAAACCAGACCAAGCAGCGGCGCUCAUGGGAUCUCUCUCUAUCCAGCAACUGUAGGAGAUGAUCGCCAGCACCGUCAAGGCACAGUACGAAUGGAGCUCAAAUACCUCCGGGUUGUACUCAAAGCCUUAUUCAAAGAAGAUUGAUGCCCUAAAGAUGCCAAGGGGAUAUCAACCACCAAAGUUCAUGCAGUUUGAUGGAAAAGGAAACCUAAAGCAGCACGUUGCACAUUUCGUCGAAACUUGCAACAAUGCAGGGACGGAGGGAGACUACCUCGCCAAGCAGUUUGUGCGCUCGCUGAAAGGAAACGCCUUUGAGUGGUACACGGACCUAGAGCCCGAGUCCAUCAGCAGCUGGGAGCAAUUAUAGCGGGAAUUCCUCAACUGCUUCUACAACACCCGUCGCAUUGUGAGCAUGCUAGAACUGACGAGCACAAAGCAGUGGAAGGACGAGCCAGUCAUUGACUACAUCAACAGAUCGCGCACUCUAAGCCUCGACUGUAAAGACAGGCUCUCGGAAACCUCUUCAAUCGAGAUGUGCAUCCAAGGCAUGCAAUGGGGUUUGCAAUACAUCCUUCAAGGCAUUAAACCACGGACUUUCAAGGAAUUGGCCACUCGCGCCCAUGACAUGGAGUUGAGCAUCGCCCAUCAUGGGAAGAAAGAACCGAUCGCCGACUACAAGAACGACAAAGUUCUUGGGCCAAAGUUGGAGAAGACUGCGUGGAAACCCACCAAGGAAGCAAUGACGGUCAACACAGCUCCCGUCAAAAUCCCUACACGAGGCAAAGCGAUUCAAACCGAAGCUUUUCGUGAUCAAGAGAUGCGUAGACGCACUUUAAAGGAGCUUGAGGAGAGGACUUAUCCAUUCCCCGACUCUGAUGUGGUUGCCAUGUUAGAAGACUUGCUGGAAAAGAAGGUGAUUGGUUUGCCUGAGUGCAAACAGCCAGAAGAGAUGAAUCGCACUGACAGUCCAAGGUACUGUAAAUUCCACCGCUUUAUCAGUCAUCCGACAGAAAAAUGUUUCGUGCUGAAAGAUCUCAUCAUGAAGCUGGCUCAGAAAGGAAUCAUCGAGCUAGAUCUUGACGAUGUGGUGAAGUCAAACUAUACCACCUUCACUUCUAGCUCUUCCGACUCAAAGUUUUCACCUCAACCGCUGGGGGCAUCCUCCAAGACAAGCAAAGUUGAAGGAUGGACUCAAGUCACUCCUAAGAAAUUGCACAAGAAGCAUACGUCUCCUCCACAAGUUCGCCAAUCGGAAAGGGGGCAAAGCAGCUCUUGUCAACCUUCAAAGCAACGUGAACGUGUUGAAGAUGAUGAAAUUGCAACACAAAGAUCGUCCGUUGCCAUCACAAUGCGCGAUUUCUUGCCCGAAGACUUCUUUAAUCACUCGGUCAAGUCUCCUUGCUAUGAAGAUUGUGAUGAACGCCUCUCCAAAAUUGCUUGACAAAUUAACAAAUGCUCCUUGUUCGCACGAGCCUAAACUGCACGAACCAAUGCUCCUUGUUUGCACGAGCCUAAACUGCACGAACCAAAGCUCUUUGUCCGCACGAGCCUAAACUGUAGGACACAAGGCUCCUCGCCUGCAUGAGCCUAAAACUGCAUGGCAAAACGCUCAUUGCCUGCACGAGCUGAAACUGCAACACGGCACCAAAUGCUCCUUGUCUGCACGAGCUGAAACUGCAACACGGCACCAAAUGCUCAUUGUCUGCACGAGUUGAAACUGCAAACGACACCAACGCUCCUUGCCUGCACGAGUUGAAACUGCAAACGGCACCACCAAAAGAAAAUACAAAAAAAUAUCUAUGUUUUUGAACUACGUUUUGACUUGAUCUCUUUCUUUGGAAGGGUACGUAGGCAGCUUGAAUAUUCAAUUUCAAGUUCAGUCACAUAAAAAAAAAUAAAAUAAAAAAUAAAAAAUAAAAAAUGUUUUAUUAAAUAGAGUUAAUUUUAUUACAAAAAAAAAAAUGGAAUACAUAUGUUAUGUAUUUACAAAAAAAAAAAAAAAAACAGAUUCCUUUUAUAUACAUAUAUAUAUAUAUAUGUAUAUAUGACCUCUAUCCAGCCAGCCCAUCAAAAGGAGGUCAUCCAAACCCAAGUGGCAGUGACCAGGCCCAAACCCAUGUCCAAAUCCAGCUCCAAGAAGAAGACCCAAGUCCACCAGCAACAAAUCCAGGCCCAGUCCUCUCUUGAUCCAUACACCCCUCAAGCUACAGGGCCCUAUCAUCCUCUUCAAUGCCUCAGAGAUCUGAAUUUACUCCAUCUCCAUCCCCAUUCACUCCGGUAACUCUAACGGUAAUGCCUCCAAUGGAGGAGACUACUCCCCGCUCUCCCCAAUGUUCCUUGACUCGCUCGCCGCUCUCCAUCGUUACCUCCCGUCUAAUGAGUCUGACUCGCUGGCUGAGGACCCGGACAUGCCAAUGAACCCGAUCUCCUGCGAUCAGUUCCGGAUGUUCGAGUUCAAGGUCCGGAGGUGCGCGCACGGCAGGUCGUACGAUUGGACCGAUUGUCCAUACGCCACUCGGGCGAGAAGGCCCGGCGUCGCGACCCGAGAAAGUACCACUACUCCGGCGCUGCAUGCCCUGACUUCCGCAAGGGCCACUGCCCGAAGGGUGACUCGUGCGAGUUCGCUCACGGUGUUUUCGAGUGCUGGCUCCACCCGGCCCGGUACCGGACCCAGCCAUGCAAGGACGGGUUGCAUUGCAACCGCCGGGUCUGCUUCUUUGCCCACACACCCGAACAGCUCCGGGUCCUGCCCGGUCAGAGCCCGAGAACCCAAGCGUCGGGAGUAGUGCGUACGGCUGUCUGGUGAACCCUCUCGGAGCGGUUCGACCCACUUUCGAGAAGACGGUUGCGUUGGGAUCCGAGUCGACCUUCUUCAGCGACAGGGACUGGGGCGACGUCGAUCUCUUCCGCAGCUUUCUCUACAAACGACGGCAGCCUCUCUCAGGUGCCACUUCUGAGUCCCAGCGCGUGGAAGCAGCUCCCCAAAAUCUUUACCAGAUUUACAACCCUUUGUGCAAUUAGUCCCCAUUCCAUUUCCACCGUUAGAUCCCGACUUGUUGCCGGAAGGAGCUGAGGCCACGGUGGACCUCCCCUUUGAAAACACUGCCAACUUGAAGAUUGCAUACGACCUCCUGCAAAAACCCAUCAAGCAGUUCAUUGCGGAUCGAUUGCCUGAUUGGAUCAUAACCGACUUUGCUGCUCAUUGGGUCGUAGAGAUUGGCAAAGAUGGUAAUACAGAUGAUAUUCUGCCGUCGCCGGAAAGCUUUACUUCGCCGCCGGAUCUGGUUAUUUCUCAGUCAAUGGUCGCGUACCGAGAGCACGAGGUGGUCCAUACGCACGCGGGCCUUUACGGAGUGAAUGAUUCCGGCAUAAGUGAUGCCGAAAGGCACGCCAAGAUUCUAUCAGCUUGUCGAGUUUACGCCAUUCGGAGUUGCUAUGAGUUUGAAGGAGAGUACUUGGAGGCAUACAAGAACAACUCUGGGAAGCUUGUGAUUCCCACUGGUUUACUUCCUCCUGAGAUACCUGCAAAAUGGGGUAAUAUUAAGAGUUUCAAUUUGGGGGGAAUGGGUUGUAGUGCUGGGGUUAUAGCUGUUGAUCUUGCCAAGGACUUGUUGCAAAUCCACCGGAAUACUUAUGUUGUUGUUGUUAGUACUGAGAACAUUACUCAGAAUUGGUAUUUUGGGAAUAAGAAGUCUAUGUUGAUACCCAAUUGCUUGUUUCGUGUUGGUGGUUCCGCGAUUUUGCUUUCCAAUAAGUCCGUUGAUAGGAGGCGGGCUAAGUACAAACUUGUUCAUGUUGUGAGGACCCAUCGUGGCGCGGAUGAUAAAGCUUUUCGUUGUGUUUAUCAGGAGCAGGAUGAUAAGGGGAAGACUGGUGUGUCUUUGUCGAAAGAUUUGACGGCAAUUGCCGGUGGGGCGCUCGAGACCAACAUUACCACUUUGGGACCUAUUGUGCUUCCUAUAAGCGAACAACUUCUUUUCUUUUCAUCACUUGUGGUUAGGAAGCUGUUCAAGUCCAACGUCAACACCUCCCCCGAUCGCAGCAGCAAGCUCGACCCCGUGCCCUCUAUAGCUGAAGCACCGGUGCUCCGGAGCCCUCUCCAACUCCCCAUCCUCUCCUCCUUGCUCCGCCAUGGCUGCGGCCUUUGAAUGAGAUUGACAAAACCAAAGUUUGACAAUCCACACCCAAAGACCUCCUCCGUCUCUUGCCUCGCAGCUGCCAACAACUUCAAAGACCACUGUCAAACGACUAGCCGGCCGAGAAGCGCUUCCUCAAACUCCAACUCUCCGUCCGUCUUCGUCCGCUCCCUGCAAAUUCCUCUACCCACCACCCAAAUUUAUACAGAAAAAUAUAUUAAAAAAAAAAAAAAGGGAUGGUGGAGCAAAGUGGUGCUGGCACCACGUGAAAAAAGAAAAGAAAAGGGGAAUGGUGGAUCAGCACCAUGUGAAAGCAAAAAAAUAAAAAAAAUAAAAAAAUAAAAAAAUAAAUAAAUAAUAAAUAAAUAAAAAAAUAAAAAAAUAAUAUAUAUAUAUAAAAUAAAAAUAAUAAUAAAAAAUAAAAAAAAGGAGAGAAGGUGGAUUCUUGGUGGCUAGCACCAUGCAAAGAGGAAGGGUUUUGGAAUGGUGGAUCAGUCCACGUGAAAAAAAUAUACAUAUAUAUAUAUAUAUAUAUACAUACAUAAUAUAUGUAUGUAUAUAGCAAAAAAAAAACAAAAAAAAACAAAUGCAUUUAGAGAAAUCAGUCCACUUUAUUUAUUUUUCUGGAAAUUUUACAUAAAUUUGCAUUAUACAUACCUUAAAAAAACAAAAAAAAAAAAAAUCAAAUCAAAUCAAAUUUACAAGAGUGGAUCUUCAAGGACGAUCAGGUGCCGCCUCACCACUCGGCAGAGCUCCAGAAAUGAGAGGCGCCGGAGGUUGACUGUUUGAAGCCACACCACUCGGCGGAACUCCAGGAAGAGGAGGCACCAAAGGUUGAUCAUUUGGAGCUUCAUUACGCGGUGCAGCCCCAGAAGACGAAGGCAAAUGUUAUUGGAACAAACCCACAAACCUCCGAUGAUCAAGUAAAAUCUGACCAUCGGAUUCCUGCAUCUGGUCAAUUUUCCUCUUCAUGUUUGUGGCAUAGUUGUGUGCGAGCUUGUGCAACUGUUUAUUCUCAUGCUUGAGCCCUCUAAUCUCCUGUUUGAGACUCAUUACUUCAGCCGCCAAUGAUUCAACUUGACGGGUUCGAGCAAAUAGGCGUUGAGCCAUAUUAGACACAGAACCUGCACACUGCACACUGAGAGCCAGAGAAUCCUUAACAUCCAACUCAUCAGACCGUUUGGAAAGUAGUUUGUUAUCUCUGGGAGUGACAAGGUUUCGGGCCACCACCGCAGCGGUCAUAUCAUUCUUCACCACCGAAUCCCCAACGGUAAGAGGACCAGUAGGGGAUAUGAAGGAUGGGCGCCAUAUGUUGUCUGGGGAAGGCGGGACUGCCUCUUCACCAAGAUUCAAGUCAAAACGACGGUCAGAGGGUCCAGACAUUUUCAAAGUGUUGAAGAAAGAAGAGAUCGAACAAAUCAAGAUCUUAGAAGUACAAGAAGGGAGUUUUCACAAGUGAAAAUUCAAGUGUGCUUUGAAACGAACUGCGUGCCUCUAUAAAAAAUCAGCACUCGACGGGAUUUCAGAGAUCGAAGAGGCGAGCUCAGAAUUCGAAGAGGCCAAUUCAAAAAUCGAAGAGGUGCUAGCUUUCUCAAAAGCUGGGCUCGCUCGGAAACCACGAGCCAAUCUUCCUUUCCAGACUUGUCCGCACUUGUCACAUGCAACCUCUACACUCGACGAAGCUCAGAAAUCGGAGAGGCAUCUUGCUUUUCCAGACGCGUUAGCACCCGUCACACGCAAACUCAGCUUUGCAGAAAUCACGGGCAAUUUGUUAAAGCGCCAAUCCCAGAUAUCGAAGAGGCGCCAGUCUUUUCAGCCUCGUCAGCACCCGUCACGCGCAAACUCAGCUUUGCGGAAAUCGCGGGCAAUUUGUCGAAGCACCGAUCCUAGAUAUCGAAGAGGCGCCAGUCUUUUUCAGCCUCGUCAACACCUAUCACAUGCACACUCAGCUUGACGAAAAUUACGGACAAUUUGUCGAAGAUUUCUGAUAAAGAAGAAAACACGUGAAGCCAUACUGAUCAAUCACGCAUUAGUUGCCAACACGAGUAAAAGAAUAAUACCUCUACAGGUACUAAAGAAUUUCCUAUAACUGUCCACCUUCACCCUUCAUAGCAAGGCAGACAUACAGAACCUUUCUUCAUCUCCGAGAAUGCCUUCCCAACGAAGCCUCUCGGGUCACUCAGUGUUCCUUAUUCCUUGGGGUACCUCUGCAAGCCAAUGACUCCAAAGCAAAAGUAUCUCAUAUCACCAGGGUAGAAAGCAAGAGUAUCUCAUAUCAUGCGUUCUCCCUGUCAUUUCCUUUGUCCUUGUUCCUACCUACAAAGACAAGGAUAAAGAAAACAAUAUGCCGGAACUUCCACUCAAACUCGGGUAAGGAACCGACUGCUGGGAACCCUUCCCUGAUUGCCUACCUAGCAUUGCUCUCGAGUACUCGUCUCCCAUUGCUGUUGUACUUCCAAAGAAGCUGCCACAUCUGCCUGAAGAACAGAUAAAGGCAAGUGAAAAUGAUACCUUGCAGCAUGUGGAGACAACGUGCAGAAGAAACAAGCAGAGAAGAAUACGGUCUGCACAGUCAACUCAGCAGAGGAGUCCGAACUGAGGAACUCGAGAAGCUGCCACAUCUGCAUGAAGAAACAAGCAGAGAAGAAUGCAGCAUGCACAGUCAACUCAGCAGAAGGAGUCUGAGAUGAAGAACUCGAGAAGAUGCUGCAUCUGCCUGAGGAACAGUUAAAGGAAAUGAAAAUGAUACCUUGAAGCAUAUGGAGACAAGUGCAACAAAGCACGUGCUGAGUCAUCCGCUACUUCUUCAAAAUCAAAAGUAUCUCAUAUCAUCAGGGUUGCAAUCACUCUGGACGGUAAACUCGUUUUGACCCUCAAAUUCUUGGGUCGACUUACUAGGCGUUGUGGGCUGCACGUGCCGAUUCACCACCCUUGAAUCGAAUCCUUAAAGAUCAAGUCACCAACUGGAAGAAGAGCCCAUCAAUCUUGAAGAUCAUACCGUUGACCAAACUGCUCAGGUGUGAAUUAGAAAGAUUGAACAAAGAAACAGGCUGUCACAUUUACCUCGUGCCUGCUUGCCAUGUGUUCGAAUCAACCUUCGAGAUCAAGCCUCAAAGGCCCUUGAAGAAGCUUCCAGCCAAAGUUCAAGAUCAAGCCUCAACGGCCCUUGAAGAAAUCACAAAUCCGAUUCAAGAUCAAGUGUCUACCACCCUUGAAUCAAAUCCAGUUCAAGAAUAAGCUGUGGAAAGUCAACAAUUGGAGGAAACCAGAAAAUCCUCCAACCCAGUUCAAGAAUAAGCUGUGGAAAGUCAACAAUUGGAGGAAUCCAGAAAGUCCUCCAAUCCAGUUCAAGAUCAAAGCUGUGGAAAGUCAACAAGUGCAACAAAAUACGUGCCGAUUCAUCCACUACCAAAGCCAAAGAUCAUCUACCACAUGAAGUUCCUUGUGGUCCAAUUUCAACCUUCAAGAUCAAGCCUCGACGGCCCUUGAAGAAAUUUCAAACAAAAGUUCAAGAAUAAACCUCAACGGCCCUUGAAGAAAUUUCAAACAAAAGUUCAAGAACAAGCCUCAACGGCCCUUGAAGAAAAGCUCCAGCCCAAUUCAAGAUCAAGCCUCGAUGGCCCUUGGAUCGACAUCUACAUUAAGUGACUUCAAAACGCAUCUCCUACACGUGACAAACACAUGUAUACGACGCGCCUUGAAGUGGGGGCAUUUGUAGACAUCGAAAUUUCAGUAAAUAAAUGUUGACCGAUAAAUCAAAGUUUCAACGCUCAUGUAUUACAUAAAUUUUACACGUAGCGUGUGUCUAAACAAAAAAUCGAAAUAGUUGGAAAAGUCAUCAAACAGGACACAUGUCAACACCUGGUAGAAACGACUUAUUUCAUCUGGGAUAUUAUAUUCAAAAUUAGGCCUUGGAAAUUUCUAUAAAUAGAAGGCUAAAUCAUUCAUUUGAGGGGACCAAAAUCAUUAGGCAAAAUUCUGAAGCUCUGAAGCUCUGAAACUCCGAAGCUCUCAAGCAUCCAAGUUCCCGAAGAAUCAAGAAAGCGUUCUUCGUUCUUCGUUCAUCGUUCUUCCAAGAUCAAGCCCGACGGCCCUUGGAUCAACAAUUAUCCACCUUCAAGAUCAAGCCCCGACGGCCCUUGAAGAAAGCGUUCUUCGUUCUUCGUUCAUCGUUCUUCCAAGAUCAAGCCCGAUGGCCCUUGGAUCAACAAUCAUCCACCUUCAAGAUCAAGCCCCGACGGCCCUUGAAGAAAGCGUUCUUCGUUCUUCGUUCAUCGUUCUUCCAAGAUCAAGCCCCGACGGCCCUUGGAUCAACCAUCCACCAAUUCAAGAUCAAGCCCCGACGGCGCUUGAAGAAAGCACCAUCGUUCAUCAUCCGUUCAUCCAAGAUCAAGCCCCAACGGCCCUUUGGAUCAACAACGUCGACAAAUCCACACAUCCAACCGUUCUUCAAGAUCAAGCCCAAAAGCCCUUGAAGAUCCGUUCAUCACUGUUCUUCGAGAUCAAGCCCAAAAGCCCUUGGAGAUCCGUUCAUCACUGUUCUUCAAAGAUCAAGCCCAAAAGCCCCUUUUAAGAUCCGCUCAAAUCCACCUCCAAGAUCAAGUCCAUGGCCCUUGAAGAACGUUCAUCCUUAGAUCAAGCCCAACGGCCCUUCGGAUCAAUCACACAUCCACAAAUACACACCUUACGGAGAUCGAAUCAGAGGAUCAAAAUAGAGAGAGAUUGUAACCCAAAAUCAUCAAAUACAAAUAUUUGUUUGUGCACGUCGUUCUUGUCUCUUUCAUUUCAGGAAUUUUCCGUGUUCACAAUAAUUUACCCUAGUUUUUUUUUCAGUCGUUUUGGUGACAUUUCAUAUCAAAGAUGAAGUAUAAGCCAAAAGUAUUUCCACCCAUUUUAGUAGAUUUGGCUCCUAGAGGAGGAGUUUGGGGAAUUGAAAUUAAUUUUGGAAUAGGUUUACAUAAUUGCACCACGGUCCAUAUUUUUUUUCGCUUAAUUAUUUGCCAUGCAUUGUGUUGUUUUCUGGUGGAACAAAUUUUUUUAACUCACUACUAUCUUACGAUGACACUACCAGAGACAGGUGUGGGAUCUCGUCCAUCUUUUAUAUGGCGGUCUUUAGCAUGGGGUAAGGAGCUCUUGUUGUGGGGACUACGAUGAAGGAUUGGUAAUGGGGUGGUUGUCAGUAUUAUGGUGAGCCAUGGAUUACAAAAUCUAUGAGCUUUCAGAUAUGUUCGCCACCUCGAUUGCCAAGACACUAGCGGAUUUCUGAUCUGACAAUGGGCUAGGAACGAAGAACUAUUGCAUUUUUUUAGGAGGAGGAAAUGGAGGCACUCGUGCAAAUUUCGUUGGGGUCUCAACAGCAUUACGAGAAGCAUG
rnacentral:lncRNA from 1 species